GCACAUGAGUUAAAAUAACAAAGUCCAGGUAAAGACUAACAACUUUAUCAGAUCAUCAAGUAUUGUUCCAGAUUUGCCAGGCUUGUGACAAGGGUUGUCUUGAAAAUGAAGAUUCCACUGUAUAUAAAAGGUGUCUGGAGAUUCUAGCCCAUGUCAGAAUCUUAAAUUAUGUGUAAUCUUCUCAAUUAUAGCUAUAUUCCAGAGUGAGUGGUACCAAACAUCCAGUGUAAUAUUUGGGGCUGUUUUCCAGUGAGCUGCAAUUAGUAUUCAUGCUGCCAACAUAAUAUAUAAGACCAAGCCUUUUGACAUUGGUAUAAUCAAAAACCUAACAUUAAUUUUGGACAGUAUUUUCUUUGGUAAUAUUUAUUUCUGUCAAAAUUAAAUUCCAAUAAUCUUGCACCAGCUGACAUUCCCACCAUAAAUUAUAAUAUGUACCAAGUUUACACUUCCGGGUUAGCGCCUCGGACAAUGGCGGAAUUCCUCUGAUCAGGAGGAAUCCGCUCUGUGGAAAUCAGGGUCUGGCCGCCACGGCAAAGGCGGAGACCCACUAAAAACCACAGGCGGGAGAAGCCUGUGGACGUGGGAUUCGGCUGGCACCUUUUGCGCCUCCCCUACUCACGGGGAAACCCGGUUUUGGGGAUCCGGAGCGACGUGGGGUGAGCGGCGUGGUGCUUCGAAUCGACUGCUUCUUUCACGGAGUGAAGCCGCAUUGCCGUUGCCGGAGAGCGCUGACUUUUUCCUGUGGACAAUUGGACUUUAAACAACUACCCGUGAGUAGAACGGAAAAUUGGAUCUUUAAACAUCUUAAUUCGGCACCGAAACGGGAAGGUUUCAAACAGGAAGUCCGCCUUCCUCUUUUGUAAAUAGAUUGAGCAAAGACGCUGCAAGCUAAAGUCUUGGAGAGCCUUUUGUAAAGGAUUAAAUUUCCAUCGGUUAAAAUUAUCAAACCCCCCUUGGAAGCAGGUGAAGAGGGGGGAAAUUUUAGAUCGCCUAAGCCUGCAGUUCCGGGGUGUCGCCUCCGGAAAAUGGCGGAAUUCCCUUCGGACUGAAGGGAACCCGCUGCACGGAGGCUUGGGUCCUGCCGCUACGGCGCAGCGGGGACCCGCAAAAACCACAGGCGGAAGAAGCCUGUGGACGUGGGACUCGGCGGGCACCGAGAGCGCUCUCUCCCCUUGGACAGGCGCCCGUUACCGGGCUCCGGAGUGGGAGGUGCGUGGUGCUGUGAGUCGACUGCUUCCUCCAUGCAGCAAAGCCGCACUGCCGUUAUCGGAGAGCGCUGCCUUUUUCCUGGACAAUUUGGCAUCUAAAAUAUCUAUCCGUGAGUACCUGAUCUUGGAAGAGCUGAACCACUUUUAAGACUGGUGAAUAAACAAAUAAUAUUGGACUUGAAAUUGAACUUAAUUGGGACUCGGAAUGGGAAGGUCUAAACAGGAAGUCGCCUUCCGUUCUUUUGUUAUGUGAAGAAAGCAAAGACAAAAUAUACUAAAGCUUGAAAAUUAAAUUCUAAGAGAACUAGAAUUCAACAUCUAAGAUUUCUGAACCCCCCCCCCCCUUUGACUGCAGGAGAAGAAGGGGGUUGUAUUUGGACUUUUCAAUCCUGCGGAAGUGAGUUUAAAAUAAAGCAAUUUUCCACCGCCCUGAACCAGGAGCGGGCUGUCAGAAUUGACGUUCUGAAGUUUAUCCAGCUCGACAGUUAGUUAAAAGAAGGGUAACAUUUUGAUUCUACUGUUGCCUCUUGAAUUUGGAAGGGGAAUUUUGGAUAAAGUGUUUCUGGAAAAGAAAGAUUGUUGCUGUUGCUUUUAUUCCUUUAAAAAAAAAAAAUUUCCAUCUAGUGGAAUUUAGUGAAAUUGCAACGCAGAGAGAUUAAAAGAGAAGGACUAUUGGACUAUUGUCGUGGGAAAGAAUUUUCUUUGACCUUGAAGGACAAUGCUAGUACAAAGGCUUGAACAAUUGUUCCUGGAAGGUUUUUCAAAACUAAGUGCCCAGCUGGACCAGAUGCGUCAGGAGACGACCUUGAUGAUGGAAGUCACCAGAGCACAGCAGCAAACAAAUGAAAUUCAGUUAAAGGCUAUACAAGUAUAUGAACCUGCUGUAGUGACGGAGGCUUCAGAGAUGGAGGGACCUUUGGACGGGCAAGAUCAGCCUUUGAACUUGACAAAUGAACUUGGGACAAACCAGAUUCGGAAAGAUGAAAUGUGGUCAGAUUUGGAAAUGGGGGAUGGAUCGACCCCCUCCAUAUGGUUAUUUGGACCUUCCGAGUCUGGUGAUGGGCUAUCAGAGGAUUGGAGUAGCCGAAGUCUCCAAGCUUUGUGGAAAUCUGAAGUGGUAUUACUUGCUGUCUGGCUUGGGCAAUGGGUUUGGGAUGGACUUGCCGCAAAGGGUCAAAAGCAUUUUCUUGCUGGAGCAUCCACGACUGGAAAGGAAUCAUCAACAAGAGUGGCGAAAGGGGCAAGAAAGAGACUUGAGGGCCUCGGAUACGAGACAACCAGGUUAAGAGGUUAAAAGGACUGACAAUCCCGGGUCCAGGGGAGGGGAGGUUGGAAGCUGACUGGACUGAAUUUGACUUAUUAUCUUUUAAUAUUGGGAAUGCUUACAAAUGUUUGAAGGAUGUUGAAUGAAAUUACAUGGCUUAAGUAAGGAUUGGUAAAUGAUUCGUAAAAAAGGUAAUGAUGCAAGAAUUUGGUAAAUAUUGAAUAUAAGCUAUGAGUCUUAAAGUUUUUAUAUGACAAGAGGGAAAAUAGAAUAAGGAAACGUAAUGACAGAUUGUUAUGAAAAAACAGAAAGGAUUUGCUGUAAAAAUUAAAAAUUAAGAAACAAAAGAGGGGAGGAGGAGGAAGUCUAGAAAGGAAGUCAAUAGAGAUUGUAAAGGACUUCAUAUUUUUGUUUUUCUGUUUCUCUUUUUUUUCUUUGCGGCUGGGUUUUCUUUUCUUUUUUGUUUAUGUACUAUUUUUGUUUUUUGUAUCCUCAAAUUUUUAUUUUUAUUUUUUUGGAAAUUUUUGUUGUUAUUCUUUGAAAACUUAAUAAAUAUCAAUUAUAAAAAAAAAAAGAGAGAGAGUGAAGAAAGAUAAAUUACCACCGUUUUGAACCUGGGAACGGGCUGCCAGUAAGAUUGACGUUUUGGGAAAGUUCAUUGACUGUGAAUAAAACGUAUGUUGACAGAUAGUUAAAUAAGAGAAAUAUAUUGUUUCCAUUGUUUCCUUUUGCACUCAAAAAGGAGCAAAAGUAACUGAAAGAUUGAAACUAACUUUGUUGCUGGAUCUGCGUUUAAAAGGACGGAUACAAAUAGAAAUUGUUUCCUCUAGAGGGAGCUUUUGAAACUGUUGCAGGAGUGGAGCUGGGGAAUUUUCCAGCUGCAGAGAUAAAAGACCGUGAGAAUCAGAGAUUGACCUUGGACAAGAAUGUCGACAGAAGAAGCCUUAGUGAUUGCAUUUUGCAAGAUAAGUGCUUUAUUGGAACAGCUUCAUGAGAAGAUGGAUGUGAUGACUAUUAAAAUUGAUAAUUUGGGACAAAAAAUGACUGAUUUGGGACAAGAAGUGAAUAUCUAUACAGAAACUACUCAGGAAUCGAUUCAGGAAUCUACUUCGACAUGGCAAGUUGUGGAGAAGACAAGGGAGAAAGUUGUUGUUGAACCUCAAGUAAUAGAAGUGGAGAGAGCCCCAGUCUUACAGAGACAAUUUGAUGAAUAUAAGCUGUUGCCUUCUACAAUUGAAUUUAGAGAAAGCCAGUUGAAACACGUCCUGAAAUAUCUUUUGGACUCUAGUUUUGACAAUGGAGAAUGGGCUGACCUGUCGAGAAGGAAUAAAGACAUUGUUAGGUUGGAGCUUCCCCGAGAUCUACUCCUCAGUGUCAAAGGAAGGAAAUUAAGAACAAGAUCAGCAGAAGAUAAAGUAAAGUGCAUGUAUAAAUAUGAAGAAGAUCUGCAGAAGGGACAUGGAAAAGAGUUAAGAGCCUCGGACAGAAGAUCACCAGGUUGAUGGACCAUAUGGAAUUGAGAGAAAGGACUGGCAGAAUCCGAGACCAGGGAGAAGAGACGGUGGAAGAAGACUGGAAAAAAGUUUAAAAUUUAUUUAUAGAAACAUUGUAAAAUUAAUGAGUGUUAGAAAAAUGUUGGAAUGAAAUUACAUGGCUUUAGUAGAAAUGUUAUAAGGAGUUAAGUACAAAUAAGUUUCAGGGUAUUAAUGGUAAGAUAAGGG